rnacentral:rRNA from 1 species
CCCCAGACUCCUACGGGAGGCAGCAGUGGGGGAUAUUGCACAAUGGGGGGAACCCUGAUGCAGCGACGCCGCGUGAGUGAAGACGGCCUUUGGGUUGUAAAGCUCUGUCAAUCGGGACGAAGAAGAUGACGGUACCGAUGAAGGAAGCUCCGGCUAACUACGUGCCAGCAGCCGCGGUAAUACGUAGGUGGCAAGCGUUAUCCGGAUUUACUGGGUGUAAAGGGCGUGUAGGCGGGACUGCAAGUCAGAUGUGAAAAUUAUGGGCUCAACCCAUAACCUGCAUUUGAAACUGUAGUUCUUGAGUGAUGGAGAGGCAGGCGGAAUUCCGUGUGUAGCGGUGAAAUGCGUAGAUAUACGGAGGAACACCAGUGGCGAAGGCGGCCUGCUGGACAUUAACUGACGCUGAGGCGCGAAAGCGUGGGGAGCAAACAGGAUUAGAUACCCGAGUACG